AUCCAUCACACGAAUUACUUGGGCUCAGAUUUUGCUAAAUUGAAAUACAUUGAUGCAUAUCUUCUACUAAUUCGAAGGGGUAAAUCCCAUCUUGACUCACGCACCGACUUGAUAAGUAGUUGAUUGUAUCCAAAAAUUUUCCAUCACUGAAUUAAAAAUUCAGUUAGUCUGGCAUUAAAGUAUAGUAAGUUGCUUGUAAGUCACCGUGGUGA
rnacentral:lncRNA from 1 species